CUCGUGUUGAACGUCAAAAGUCGCCAUGUUUGAUGUGGCAAGUUCAAAAAUUUGAGAAUACGAUUUUCUAUCCUAAAACACAGUGCUACGUGAAAUUAUUAAAUGCAUCGUUGUUGUUUUGAAUUGAUUGUGCUCCAUUCAGUAUGUAGUAGUGAUAUUUUACAGACACACACACACACCAAUGCUUGAUACGGCAUUUGCUAGCAAAUGAAGCAGGAUAGUUUUAAUUGGAGAAUUUGUUUUUGGUGACGUCGCUUUGUGUAAUCUUCACUCUGCAAUUCAUAACUCCCUCUAUCUCCUCAUGGUUGUGGACUAAAUAUCAGUCUUAAAAUGAACGAGUGGGCCAACAGUACAGUAGUAGUGUUGGAGCAGUCGUGGAUGAGGGUUGAGAGGUCAGUGCUGGUGGCAGUUCUAAGCAUGGAGAUGGUGCUGGGGGUCAUUGGGAACUGUCUGGUACUACGGGUAAAAAUCCUAUAGGUGUCUGAGGUGGACAGUCACUCUGGAAGUAUGUCUCUGAUCCAGUCCAUGCUGCGCAGACAGAGCACUGCAGAAGACACGGAUCAACCUCCUAACAUACACUCGAACACGCACCGUAACACACACCAACACCUCAGAACCUCAGUGGAAACAGACAGGGGAUUCUAUGUGACCCCUCGUGGCCACAAUAAUGCAGAGCUCAAAUUCAAAGGAAAGCUUGCUGCAGUGAUUGAGGAUGAUGAUGGUGAUUGUGUUGAUGAUGACAAGGAUCCACAAUUGAAAGUUCCGACUGAAAGGGACAACGAUCCGGAAUCAUCAGACAGGGAUUCAGAAAGAGAAGAGGGGAAUUCCGGUGUUCCAUUUUUGGAUGCAGGAUUGGAAAAACUAGGCAACGAGGAGGAGGAGGAAACCAGUGAAACCCCCUCUGUGAUUCCCAGAUGGGAGGGAAGGCAGUUGCUACCCUGUCCCCCUGGCCUGGAUGCCAGACCCCCACUUCCCCCCAUUCCCCCCAAGAGGAGGGCUAAACCACUGCUACACCCUACAGGGCCACCACCCCCUCCACCAGCCCUCGACCCUAGCCGGAGUGCUCCUGUGUGGGGGGGAGUGGUAGGCGAGGGCCCAGGCUGUGAGCUGAGGCCUACAGGACAUGGGAGAGGGCCUGGAGGCCAGGAGGAGGAUAUGCUAUUGUCCUCAGGGGAUAGGCUGUCAAUAUACUCAGCUGUCAUCCUCAAGUCAGAACGCCGAUUCUCACAGCCCAUUCUGGAUUUUACUCUGGGCUCUACAGCACAGAGGGGUGAGGGGGUGCAGCAGUUGGAGACGACUGUGUCCAUGGCAACACAGGACCCUUCCAAGCUGAGGGGAAAGGAUUUAGGGCGCCCCCCUAAAUCCUCUGAGCCAGUGGGGAUGGGGGUAAUGGGGAUACCCAAACCGUUGGAAUUGACCCCACCCAAGCCACUUAUACCAAAACCUCCAAGCAAAAACAGAUCUCUGCCCCAGGGACCUGAGGGGAGAGCCCAGGACAGCCCAGAUGGAAGUGUCUCUUCUGGGUCUGAAAAGAGAGACAUCCCCCCUGGCUUCCAGUCUGUACCUCCAGGGACAGAGGGAGUCAGAGAACCACCAGAUCCUAGCGAACACAUCGCAGAUGGGAGCGAGAGCUCCAGAAACCCUGCAGAGAUUCGGAGUAACACGGAGGAGGGAGG
ensembl:lncRNA